CUACGAAAACUGUGCAAUGUGGGAAACCACGACACGGGCAUACCGAGUGCCAACGCUUUGCGUUGGCUGUUCUCUCGCCUAAAAAGCGAGAGAAGUAAGGGCCGGGUAAGACGGGUGCCAGCCGCCGCGGUAAUACCCGCGGCCCGAGUGGUGCUCAUUAUUAUUGAGCUUAAAGCGUCCGUAGCCGGCCUCGUAAAUCUUUGGGUAAAUCGGGCAGCUUAACUGUUCGAAUUCCGAGGAGACUGCGAGGCUCGGGACCGGGAGAGGUUCGAGGUACUCCGGGGGUAGGGGUAAAAUCCUGUAAUCCUCAGAGGACCACCAGUGGCGAAGGCGUCGAACUAGAACGGAUCCGACGGUGAGGGACGAAGCCCUGGGGCGCAAACGGG
rnacentral:rRNA from 1 species